rnacentral:lncRNA from 1 species
AGAAUUUAAAUUAUUAACUUUGUAUGUCAUAUCUGUUUAAUUAAAUUUUGAUAUCAAAAUAUUUAUCAUUUAAUAUAAGUUGUGGUGUAUAGAAUGUUAAUAUAUAUCAUGUGCAUGUAACAUUUUAAUCAAAAAAGUUAUUCAUAGAACGGUCUCUAAAACUUUUAGGGCGUGUUUGGUUCGCUUCUUUUUCACCCUGGAAUCAGAAUCGGAAUGGAUGAAUCCGUUUGUGACUGUUUGGUAUGCGGGAGUCCCAUUCCGAUUCCAAUUCCCAAGUGGAAUGGGAAAUGCCCCAGAAGUUGAAUCCGGCCGGAAUGGAUAUUUAUUCGGAUUAAAUUUAUUUUUUCAACUUUUUUUAAUUAAAAUAUGAGUUUAAAUUUACAAAUUAAAUUUAUAAUUUUAAAUUUUAAUUUGAAUUUGAAUUAAAAAUUAAAAUUUAAUCAAGUAUUUUGAAAUUAACUUAUAAAUUUGAAUUUAAAUUAAAUUUUAAUUUAUAUAAAAUUUUAUUCAAAUUUUAUUUAAAACUUAAAUUAAAUUUACGGAUUCAAAUUAAAAUUUAAAUUGUAAUUUUAUUUGAUUGAAUAAAUCAAUAAUUUUAGUUUUAUAUUUUGAAUUAUCCACUCAACUUCAAGUUUAAUUUUUUUAAAAAAAUAAAUUUAAAAUUUUGACAUUAUUUCAAAUUUUGAUCUAAAUUUUUAAUAUUAUAUUUUAAAUUUGAAUUUAAAUUAAUAUAUUAGAAAGAUAAAGUUAGUAUAUAAUUUGAUUGUUUUUAUAAUCUACCUGAACCAAACACCGACAAUGAGAAUAAUUUAUUCGAUUUCGAUUCAGAUAACAAACCAAACAGAAUUAGGCAAUGAGUCAUUCCGAUUCCGAUUCUAGCUUAUUCCGAUUCCGAUUAUGAUUCCGAUUCCGACUUCGAACCAAACGCGCCCUUAAAUCUGAUUAAAUUUUAAAUAAAAUCGUUAGAAUAAUGUAACUAUUCAAA